rnacentral:rRNA from 1 species
UGCAGUCGAACGGUGAAGCAGAGCUUGGUCUGUGGAUCAGUGGCGAACGGGUGAGUAACACGUGAGCAACCUGCCCCGGACUCUGGGAUAAGCGCUGGAAACGGCGUCUAAUACCGGAUACGAGAUUCCACCGCAUGGUGAGUUUCUGGAAAGAUUUUUUGGUCUGGGAUGGGCUCACGGCCUAUCAGCUUGUUGGUGAGGUAAUGGCUCACCAAGGCGUCGACGGGUAGCCGGCCUGAGAGGGUGACCGGCCACACUGGGACUGAGACACGGCCCAGACUCCUACGGGAGGCAGCAGUGGGGAAUAUUGCACAAUGGGCGGAAGCCUGAUGCAGCAACGCCGCGUGAGGGAUGACGGCCUUCGGGUUGUAAACCUCUUUUAGCAGGGAAGAAGCGAAAGUGACGGUACCUGCAGAAAAAGCGCCGGCUAACUACGUGCCAGCAGCCGCGGUAAUACGUAGGGCGCAAGCGUUAUCCGGAAUUAUUGGGCGUAAAGAGCUCGUAGGCGGUUUGUCGCGUCUGCUGUGAAAUCCCGAGGCUCAACCUCGGGUCUGCAGUGGGUACGGGCAGACUAGAGUGCGGUAGGGGAGAUUGGAAUUCCUGGUGUAGCGGUGGAAUGCGCAGAUAUCAGGAGGAACACCGAUGGCGAAGGCAGAUCUCUGGGCCGUUACUGACGCUGAGGAGCGAAAGGGUGGGGAGCAAACAGGCUUAGAUACCCUGGUAGUCCACCCCGUAAACGUUGGGAACUAGUUGUGGGGUCCAUUCCACGGAUUCCGUGACGCAGCUAACGCAUUAAGUUCCCCGCCUGGGGAGUACGGCCGCAAGGCUAAAACUCAAAGGAAUUGACGGGGACCCGCACAAGCGGCGGAGCAUGCGGAUUAAUUCGA